rnacentral:rRNA from 1 species
AAUCAACGCUGGCGGCGCGCUUAACACAUGCAAGUCGAGCGAGAAAGGGGAGCAAUCCCUGAGUACAGCGGCGUACGGGUGAGUAACACGUGGGUGAUCUACCUUCUAGUGUGGAAUAACCCUGGGAAACCGGGGCUAAUACCGCAUAAGCCUGUGAAGGGAAAGCAGCAAUGCGCUGGAAGAGGAGCCCGCGGCCGAUUAGCUAGUUGGUGAGGUAACGGCCCACCAAGGCGAUGAUCGGUAGCCGGCCUGAGAGGGCACACGGCCACACUGGCACUGAAACACGGGCCAGACUCCUACGGGAGGCAGCAGUGGGGAAUCUUGCACAAUGGAGGCAACUCUGAUGCAGCGACGCCGCGUGAGCGAUGAAGCCCUUCGGGGUGGUAAAGCUCUUUCGGUCGAGGGACGAUAAUGACGGUACCUGAAGAAGAAGCUGC